UACAUGUGGGGCAAGCGUUGUUCGGAAUUAUUGGGCGUAAAGAGCUCGUAGGCGGUUUGUCGCGUCUGCUGUGAAAGACCGGGGCUCAACUCCGGUUCUGCAGUGGGUACGGGCAGACUAGAGUGAUGUAGGGGAGACUGGAAUUCCUGGUGUAGCGGUGAAAUGCGCAGAUAUCAGGAGGAACACCGAUGGCGAAGGCAGGUCUCUGGGCAUUAACUGACGCUGAGGAGCGAAAGCAUGGGGAGCGAACAGG
rnacentral:rRNA from 1 species